UGUGAUCCAUGACUGGGGUGAAGUCGUAACAAGGUAACCGUAGGGGAACCUGCGGUUGGAUCACCUCCUUACC
rnacentral:rRNA from 1 species